rnacentral:lncRNA from 1 species
AGACCAAACUCCCUCAGAAAGCUGAAUUAAGCUCUUCCUAAUUUACUUUCACACUCAAAUCCCUAGCCCCACCAAAUCUCUCAAUAGCAAGAAGAAAUCUGAAUUGCUGUCAUCCUCAAGGGCAGAAAGAUUUAACUUUUUUUCUGGUAUUGCUUAGACUUGAGAAUGUACAGAUAGUUGGGUAGGAGUGAGGUCUCAGAGACAGUGCUGUGAGCUGCAUGUAAAUUCUCCUCCUCUUCACUAGGGGCACUGUCAGCAUCCAGGUGCUGCCUUUCUGCCCCACAGCAUUGUUUGUACCUUAAAGAAGGAUGGUUAUGCAGACUGUGAGGUCAGUACUGUUCAUGUUGAGGGGUGAACUUCCUCUUCCCUCAGCAUAAUUAUCACCCCCAGAGAAACUCCUAUUGCUUGUACCUCCUACAAUAAACCCAAAGCCAUCGUAGGCGUCACAUUCCCUGUACUUUGUUCUUCAUCAUUCUCUCUUCCUUAUACUCAGCUGGCUGUUACCCAAUACCUAGGACUCUGUCUUCUGAGAUGCAUUAGACACUAGAGGAGUCAUAGAUAAAUGAAACUGAUGGGCUAAUUCAUGUUAAAAUCCGAAUGGCCAACAUCAGCUCACUGGAGUCACUCCUCUUGACAGAACCAGCACUUUAGGGAUUACACCUUAAUUCCUUGUAUCAGUUAGAGAUAGAUCAUGGGAAUAU